rnacentral:lncRNA from 1 species
GCUUACUUCUGGCUGGUUUUGGCUCGAAGCUUUUGUUCCAAUACAGCUACUUCCGUCUCCAGGCUGAACAUUCUGUUAAGAGCAUGCAUAUUCUCAAGGGUCUCGCUUAGGGUUCGGCUGUCACUCCCAUCACAUCUAAGGUGCUGCAUUGGCCCGUGAAGGAGUUUGUUAACUAUACCACGGCUAAGAUCAUCCACAGCUCUCCUUGUUUUCUUUGGGAUCUCCUCACCCAUUUUUGAU